rnacentral:rRNA from 1 species
GCUUUACUGUAACUUGAAAUUGAAAUUGGACUUUAUUCGCGCAGUAUAGGUGGGAGGUGUUGAUUAUAAUCUUGCGGGAUUAUUGGAGCCAUCAGUGAGAUACCACUCUUGUAAUGUUAGAUUUCUAACUUUGAAUCAUUAUCUGGUCAAAGGACAGUUUCAGGCGGGCAGUUUGACUGGGGCGGUCGCCUCCUAAACGGUAACGGAGGCGUACAAAGGUUUCCUCUGAACGGUUAGAAAUCGUAUCUAGAGUGUAAAGGCAUAAGGAAGCUUGACUGUGAGACCUACAAGUCGAGCAGGGACGAAAGUCGGUCUUAGUGAUCUGACGGUACUGAGUGGAAAGGCCGUCACUCAACGGAUAAAAGUUACUCUAGGGAUAACAGGCUGAAA